rnacentral:rRNA from 1 species
GACGAACCGUCCAAACGUUAUUCGGAAUCACUGGGCUUAAAGGGUGCGUAGGCGGCCCGGAAAGUUGUGUGUGAAAGCCCUCGGCUCAACCGAGGAAUAGCGCGCAAAACUACCGGGCUCGAGGGAGACAGAGGUAAGCGGAACUUAGGGUGGAGCGGUGAAAUGCGUUGAUAUCCUAAGGAACACCAGGAGCGAAAGCGGCUUACUGGGUCUCUUUUGACGCUGAGGCACGAAAGCUAGGGGAGCGAACGGG